rnacentral:rRNA from 1 species
CUGGCUCAGGAUGAACGCUGGCGGCGUGCUUAACACAUGCAAGUCGAGCGGAGAAUAUAAGUUGGGAGCUUCGGCAGGAUGCUUAAUAUCUUAGCGGCGGACGGGUGAGUAACGUGUGGGCAACCUGCCCUGUACUGUGGAAUAAUCACUGGAAACGGUGACUAAUACCGCAUGUCAUUGCGAGAGGGCAUCCUCUUGCAAGAAAAGGAUUUAUUCGGUACAGGAUGGGCCCGCAUCUGAUUAGCUAGUUGGUGAGAUAACAGCCCACCAAGGCAACGAUCAGUAGCCGACCUGAGAGGGUGAUCGGCCACAUUGGGACUGAGACACGGCCCAAACUCCUACGGGAGGCAGCAGUGGGGAAUAUUGCACAAUGGGCGAAAGCCUGAAUGCAGCAACGCCGCGUGAAGGAUGAAGGGUUUCGGCUCGUAAACUUCUAUCAACAGGGACGAAAAAAUGACGGUACCUGAAUAAGAAGCCCCGGCUAACUACGUGCCAGCCGCAGC